rnacentral:rRNA from 1 species
GACGAACGCUGGCGGCGUGCUUAACACAUGCAAGUCGAACGGAAAGGCCCUGCUUUUGUGGGGUGCUCGAGUGGCGAACGGGUGAGUAACACGUGAGUAACCUGCCCUUGACUUUGGGAUAACUUCAGGAAACUGGGGCUAAUACCGGAUAUGAGCUCCUGCUGCAUGGUGGGGGUUGGAAAGUUUCGGCGGUUGGGGAUGGACUCGCAGCUUAUCAGCUUGUUGGUGGGGUAGUGGCUUACCAAGGCUUUGACGGGUAGCCGGCCUGAGAGGGUGACCGGCCACAUUGGGACUGAGAUACGGCCCAGACUCCUACGGGAGGCAGCAGUGGGGAAUAUUGCACAAUGGGCGGAAGCCUGAUGCAGCAACGCCGCGUGCGGGAUGACGGCCUUCGGGUUGUAAACCGCUUUCGCCUGUGACGAAGCGUGAGUGACGGUAAUGGGUAAAGAAGCACCGGCUAACUACGUG